GGCCCCAUAGCUCAGUUGGUCAGAGCAUCCGGCUCAUAACCGGCGGGUCCCAGGUUCAAGUCCUGGUGGGGCCA
rnacentral:tRNA from 1 species